GUGCUGUGGCUCAAUGGCACAGCAUCUGCUUGGCAUACACAAGGUCCCAGGUUCAAACCCCAGUGGCUCCA
rnacentral:tRNA from 1 species